AGGAAAGAAAAAAAAACAAAGAGAACCUCACAUAUACGUUUUCUUCCUCACCACCAUUCAACCUCUUCACCAUCUCCUUCUCCAAGUUCUUCAAUAUUCUUCCUUCACCACACAACCACCACCGUUGCCGACGACCCGCAACCACAACUAGAAGCGACACCAUAGAAGUGGGCGGCGCAAGGGGAGAGCAAAAGGGUCGUUGUUGCUGUAUUUUGGGUCGUCUAGGGAUUGUAUUAGGGGCGUUUUGCAAGUUAUUUUUCAUCCCCAAUCUUCUAUAUUAGAGGAUCCCGGGUUCAUUGAGGAGCCGUAUUGACUGAGCUAGUUGGUUUGCUAUAGUUUAAAAGGUACAUGAAGGCUUAGAGUCGGGGUGUAGGCGGAGAGCAACGUCCACUAGUUUUCCGUAAAUAUAGUUAUUAGUUCUUUUCUGGUGCAUUUCUUAUAUAUAAUCACUAUUUUGAGACUUAGGGUUGUAAAUAUUAAUCCACCUAAAUCAUUAUUCGGUUGGGUUGUAAUAGUUUAAAUUAAGCUUUAAUCUAGUUUUGGUACAUGUAGUUCUUUCUUAGCGAUUAUUCUCGUAAUAAUCGUGGAAUAACACGUUUGGAUUUAGAGUAAUUAAA